GACGAACGCUGGCGGCGUGCUUAACACAUGCAAGUCGAACGGACAGGCCCUGCUUUUGUUGGUUUCUCGAGUGGCGAACGCGUGUGUAACACGUGUGUAACCUGCCCUUGUCUUUGGGAUAUCUUCAGGAAACUCGGGCUCAUACCGCAUAGGAUCUCCUGCUGCAUGGUGUGGGUUGGUAAGUUUCGGCGGUUGGGGAUGGACUCGCGGCUUAUCAGCUUGUUGGUGGGGUAGUGGCUUACCAAGGCUUUGACGGGUAGCCGGCCUGAGAGGGUGACCGGCGACAUUGGGACUGAGAUACGGCCCAGACUGCAACGGGAGGCAGCAGUGGGGAAUAUUGCAGAAUGGGCGGAAGCCUGAUGCAGCAACGCCGCGUGCGGGAUGACGGCCUUCGGGUUGUAAACAGAUUUGGAAUGAGACGAAGAGUGAGUGACGGUAAUGGGUAAAGAAGCACCGGCUAACUACGUG
rnacentral:rRNA from 1 species